CGGGACGGGUGAGUAAUGUCUGGGAAACUGCCUGAUGGAGGGGGAUAACUACUGGAAACGGUAGCUAAUACCGCAUAACGUCGCAAGACCAAAGAGGGGACCUUCGGGCCUCUUGCCAUCGGAUGUGCCCAGAUGGGAUUAGCUAGUAGGUGGGGUAACGGCUCACCUAGGCGACGAUCCCUAGCUGGCCUGAGAGGAUGACCAGCCACACUGGAACUGAGACACGGUCCAG
rnacentral:rRNA from 1 species